UGUCCGUAGGUGAACCUGCGGAAGGAUCAUUACUGAGUGAGGGCCCCUCGGGGUCCAACCUCCCACCCGUGUUUAACGAACCUUGUUGCUUCGGCGGGCCCGCCUCACGGCCGCCGGGGGGCAUCUGCCCCCGGGCCCGCGCCCGCCGAAGCCACCUGUGAACGCUGUCUGAAGUAUGCAGUCUGAGACAAUUAUUAAAUUAAUUAAAACUUUCAACAACGGAUCUCUUGGUUCCG
rnacentral:misc_RNA from 1 species